AUUUUGAGGGAAUAUAAAAAUGGAAACGAAGCCAACACAAUAAACAAAACGAAAUCACCUGAGAAAGCCAAAGAAAAAACAAAAAAAAAGAAAAAAGAGAAAAGAAAGGGGAAAACCAAUAAACCAAUAUAUAAAAACCAACGGUGUUGAUAAACUUCAGUCUCUCAUCUCAGUCGUCUCCUAUCUCCUCUCUUCUCCAGCGUCCGAUCCUCCUUCCAUUUCCACCAGAUCUAAAGCCCCUCCAUCUCUCGCGCCCAAAAUUACAAAAUCCCCACCAAAAAAUUCCUUACACACAGGUGAUUUGGUCGUGGUGGUCGUUCUUUUUCCGACUAGGGUUUUUACGGUUCUUCUGCCAUGGCCGAAGCUCCGGUGAGUCCAGGUGGAGGAAGCCACGAGAGUGGAGACCAGAGUCCCCGUUCUAAUGUCCGAGAACAGGAUCGCUACCUUCCGAUUGCCAAUAUCAGCCGGAUCAUGAAGAAGGCGCUUCCUGCUAAUGGCAAAAUCGCUAAGGAUGCUAAGGAGACCGUUCAGGAAUGUGUUUCCGAAUUCAUUAGCUUCAUUACCAGCGAGGCGAGUGACAAGUGCCAGAGAGAGAAGAGGAAAACAAUUAAUGGUGAUGAUUUGCUUUGGGCUAUGGCUACUUUAGGUUUCGAAGAUUAUAUCGAACCGCUGAAGAUUUACCUGGGAAGAUAUAGAGAGGUAAUUCUAUCGCAGAGGUUUGGAUUAUUCCUUUUUUCUGCUUGUUUGCUGACAUUAAAAAAAUGGAAUGAUAUGAUAAGAAAAUAAAAAUUGAUCUUGUUUGUCUUUGUUUUCUGGUAAAUGGUGCUUUUGAUCUCUUUAGUCUGUAAUAGUCAAUGUAAUGUUCUUUGUGUAAAUUCGUUUGGUUUGUUUCAUAUAGAAGAAGUUUUAUUUAUGGGCACUAACUAAGUGAUUUUCUUUUGGUUUUUUGCUUGGUUAUUUUCGGGUCUGGAUGUUGCAGAUGGAGGGUGACACCAAAGGGUCAUCAAAGGGCGGAGAGGCAUCUGCUAAAAAAGAUGUUCAACCAAGCCCAAAUGCACAGUCACAGGCCCAACAUAUGAUGGUUCCUAUGCAAGGAACGGAGUAGCAAUGCUCUUUUCCGACCAACGUUCAUUUAAUUUGUCAUUGGAUGAAAUUCUGUUCCAAGUUCGCAACAAAUUCUUAUUAAGUUACUUAUCUGAUGUUGACACUGACAUAUGGGGUGGUUUUGGUGCCGAUGUCUCAAUAUAUAUCGUGGUCAGUGGUAGUAAAGUUUGUAUAUUGGGAAGUCAAUUAGAGUCUUAUGGCUAUUUGAAGAAAGUAUUGUAAAUCUUGGGAGGAUCUAAUUUCGUGCUAUUUGUAAACUCGUUAUUGCUAGGGCUAGUGAUUUUAUGAAACUGAUAGGGCAAUUUGGCGUGGUUCCAUUUGCUAGAGGUGCAUGUUUUCUCUAAAACAUGCACACUGUUACAGCCGCGGGGGUAAAGAUUCUUGCCACGGGUUUCAAAUGGCUAAUUUGUUGAUGGAAAAUUAUAUA